AGUGUCCAAAUGCAUUAUUCAUAUAUGUCAAUUAAUAUACAUAUUUAUUUAUGAAAUUCUGCGCAUAGAAGUUAUUUUUCAUUUUUUACAUCUCAUAGUGAGUUUGAAUAACUAUUUACAGAAAAUGCAAAGAGAGAUGCAGAUCUUUAAAGUGAUAUGUUCAACGACAAAUAUUGUAAGCUCAUUUCAGAGCUUAGCAAAAUAUGUUUAUGCGCUUUUUUCUUCCAUUUUUAGGAUAAGUUUCAGUUGAGAAACUGGCCAGCGAUGUGUGUUGUAACUUACAUUCAAACUACAUUGUACAGGAACUUUUUCCUUUUUAUAUUUAUGUUUUUGUCAUAUAGGUUAUAUGAAGAAAUUGUAUCUAUGAAUGAUGAAAUCAAAAAGUAACUCUUUGUUCAUAGUACACACAAACCAAGACUGUAAUAGAAAUCAGGAAAUUUUAAUGGUCCUAUACCUAUAAUGCUGAAAAUUAAUCUUCUAUCUGUUCUAAUUAACCACCUGU